AGGGAAAUAAGAAUGUCCUGGAAUCAGAUCCUGAUGAUGGCUGCACAACCUUGUGGACCUACUAAAAACCACUGAGUUGUAGAGUCGAAAAGGGCUUAAUAGUUUAGAAAACAUCCUAGAAAAAUGGAGUCCGGAAGUCAAGCGAUUCCGCCCCGACAUGCCCAUCGUCCCGCUUGCGAACAAGAAGCAUCUCCAGAACGAUGAGCGCCCAGGGCAGGAGCUGACCAAGGUGAAGGGGGAGCUGGUAAAGGCCUUUCCUGCCUUCCUUUGGUUUCAUGCUUGAGGCACCCAUACCCAGCCAGCACUCACUCCCCCUUCUGAGGACCCCGCCGUGGUGUCACAGCAUGCAAAAGUCCUCAGUGUGCAGAGCUGUGAGCCCAUUGCAGCAACCGCCCAGCACAGGUUCGUCUCAUCCAGCUGGAAUAUGAAACCAUCUGUCCACGUGAGCAGAGGAAACCCUAGGACCUGGCAUCAGACUGUGAACGUGGUUGAGACUCGGCCCAGCUGUCUGAACUCGCGCAGGUCGCUUCAAUUUCUCAGUCUCACCUUUAAAUCAGGAUAACCGUAGCACCAGCCUCCUGGGAAUGGAUUCAGCGGUGCCCACAAAAUGUCUCACACAGUAUCUAGUAUAGGGGUGAGUGUGCUCAGAGCAGCGAUAUUGCACAUAAAGACAGAAAGAAGCAACUUUCCCCCUUCAUAAAUCCAGAAAGGAGGGAUUUGAAUUUGAAUUUGAGUUCCCCUGGGAUUUCAGGCCCAUCCCUUUGAAUCAGCAGUUCGGAUGCGGUUGCCAUCGUCUUGGUGGCCAUGAAUGGCCGAUGUGGAGGCAUGUCAUAUUUUCAAAUUA